AGUGGCAGACGGGUGAGUAAUGUAUAGGAAUCUACCUAGUAGUACGGAAUAAUUGUUGGAAACGGCAACUAAUACCGUAUACGCCCUACGGGGGAAAAAUUUAUUGCUAUUAGAUGAGCCUAUAUUAGAUUAGUUAGUUGGUGAGGUAAAGGCUUACCAAGACAAUGAUCUAUAGCUGAUCUGAGAGGAUGAUCAGCCACACUGGAACUGAGAUACGGUCCAGACUCCUACGGGAGGCAGCAGUGGGGAAUAUUGGACAAUGGGCGAAAGCCUGAUCCAGCCAUGCCGCAUGAGUGAAGAAGGCCUUCGGGUUGUAAAGCUCUUUUAGUGAGGAAGAUAAUGACGGUACUCACAGAAGAAGUCCUGGCUAACUCCGUGCCAGCAGCCGCGGUAAUACGGAGAGGGCUAGCGUUAUUCGGAAUCAUUGGGCGUAAAGGGCGCGUAGGCGGGUUAGUAAGUUAAAAGUGGAAUCCCAAGGCUCAACCUUGGAACUGCUUUUAAAACUGCUAGUCUAGAGAUCGAAAGAGGAUAGAGGAAUUCCUAGUGUAGAGAUGAAAUUCGUAAAUAUUAGGAGGAACACCAGUGGCGAAGGCGUCUAUCUGGUUCAAAUCUGACGCUGANGCGCGAAGGCGUGGGGAGCAAACAGGAUUAGAUACCCUGGUAGUCCACGCUGUAAACGAUGAAUGUUAAAUAUGGGAAGUUUACUUUCUGUAUUAUAGCUAACGCGUUAAACAUUCCGCCUGGGGACUA
rnacentral:rRNA from 1 species